rnacentral:lncRNA from 1 species
GCAAGAGCAAAAAGAGAAUCUGCCUAAUGAGGCUCCUAACCCACCCCCAAGAGUCAGAUAACAGAGGUCUGCUUCCUCCAGUGGUGUCCUGGGAACCAGGUAUCUGGGGCAGUGGCAGGCAGUCUUUGGCUGUGGAGGGGCCACCUAAUCAUGCUCCCUCUGGCUGGUCAGGUACUUAGGGCAUCUUCUCUAGAGAUAGACAUGAGGCUGGGACAGUCCCAGGUGACGAAUGUCAGCUGCUGCCAGGUGGACCCCAGCCGCGUGGGUGUGCACUGGGCCCCCAGAGUGCUUGGUGCCUUCUGAAUGGCUUGCAGCCAGCAGGUGGGGCCACACAGCCAGUGCUGGGCACAGGUAGGGGAGGCACACCACCCGUCCACAGUGCUGGACGCUAGCCCUGCCACACAGGGAGCCGAGCACCUGGGGGCGAUGGGGUGUCUGGGCCCGUGGGGCGUGGGACGUUGUUGAGUGACCAGCCCCAGCUGGGCGUCUCCUGAGAUGGCCUUGACCCUGGGGGAAGGUGCAGGUGGAGAGGGCAGUGGAGAAGCACGACCUGCCAGGGCCAGCUGCAGGAGAGAAGGCGCAGGUGGCUAGACCCUGCAAGGGGCCUGGGGAGCGCCCAGGAGGUGGUGGCUAACACCAGUGGGUCCUGGUGAGCUGGGAUGGAGGGAGCAGCUGGUAGACACCAGUGCUGGCCCGGAUAUGCACAGGAGCCCAUCCUCAGGCCAUUAUGGGUGGGGCACCGGGUUGGGUCUGGCUCUUUAGAGAAUGGAACCACUGGGUGUGGAGAGGCUGCCGUGGACGCUGGGUGGUGGAAAGCUCUGGCCCUCCAAUGGCUAGUGGAGGCGGGAUAAUCAGGAGUGGGAUGGGAGGUGGGGCCAGCCAAGCCCCGGUCACAGGGCAGGCAGCCUGGGCCAGCUGUCCAGGGACCAGAUGACCUUCAGAGUGGAGGGUGCCCGCCAGGCAUAGGCGUCCAGGCUCCAGGUGCUGGGAGGCAGGAGGCGUCCCUCAGGGUGCAGGCUUGAGUGCUUGGGAGCCUGGGUUGGGCCUGCUGCCCUCCUGGGCAGAUCCUGGCACGUCCUCCCUACACCGACUCAGCCAUGAGCAGGCUUUGGGCAGCGGGGACGCUUGACCAGCCGGGGUCCCUUCCCCAGAAUAGGCUGCUCCACCUGCCGCACUGGUGGGUCCCUGCACUCCUGGGUAGGCCACCUUGCUUGUCCUUCUGAGCUGCUAGGACAGGCCACUUGUGGGUGACAGUUGUUUGUCUUCUUGCUGGGGCAGGCAGAGGGGCACCCAGGUGCCAGCCUUGCUUAAAAAGAUAUGAGCCUUGGCCAGCUCCGCACCAGGCCUGGGUCAGGGGCAAGUGCCCCAGGCCAGCCAGCAGGUGGGACCGGGGGCAGUGGUGCUGGCCUGUCUGGGCCCUCCCGCUGGGGGCCUGCCUGACCCCCAUCUGCCGCUCAUGACCCCACAGUGCUGAACAAGGACAUCGCGGCCUGCCGCACGGCCACCAUCACAGGCACGCUCAAGCGGCCAUCACUGCCUGAGGAGGAGAAGCUGAAGCUGGCCCAUGCCAAGGGGCCACCGUCCACCUUCAACAGCCUGCCGGCCAACGUGUCUAAGCUGCACCUGCAUGGCUCGCCCCGCUACCCUGGUGGGCCCCUGCCCGACUUCCCCAACCACUCACUGACCCUCAAGAAGGACAAAGCACCCAAGUCCUCCUUCGUUGGCGAUGGGGACAUCUUUAAGAAGCUGGACUCAGAGCUGAGCCGGGCCCAGGAGAAGGCUCUGGACACGAGCUACGUGAUCCUGCCCACGGCCACGGCCACACUGCGGCCCAAGCCGAAGGAGGAGCCCAAGUACAGCAUCAACAUCGACCAGAUGCCCCAGACGCGCCUCAUACACCUGAGCAUGGCGCCCGAGGCCGGCUUCCCCACCCGCAGCCCACCCACCCGCGAGCCCCCUGGCAGCGGGCCUCCAGAGGCACCCCCUGCCCAGCCCCCGCCACCCCCACCCCCACCACCCCCACCGCCCCAGCAGCCCCUGCCUCCACCGCCCACCCUGGAGCCAGCGCCUCCCAGCCUGGGGGACACGGGGGAGCCCUCCGCCCACCCAGGACCAAGCUCGGGGACUGUCACCAAGAACGAAAACGUCACCACCUUGUCUGUGAGCUCCUUGGAGGUGAGGGUACCAGGGCCAGCUGAGCUGGUGGGGCCAGCUGAGCUGGUGGGGCCAGCGGGUUGGGCUGCACUCAGCGCGGUGUCUAAGGGCGUCCCAGGGGGCUCGGGCGGCCGGCCCGGCCUGCAGGGGAGGCUCCCGGCCCCCAGCAGCAGCAGCAGAUGGGCCGUGCUGACAGGCCGGCUUCUACCUGCACCACUGGCCGGGCAGGGCUGGCCAGGACCCGCUGCCCUCAGGCCCACUCCCAGGGCAGCAGGCCAAGUGAGAGGGAGCUUUUAGCAGCCCAUGCUGGCCAUGCCUCUUGUCCCUGCCCCCUCUCAGGCCCCAGCCUGGGUGCUGAGUCUAGCCUCCUCAUGAACGGGCAGUGUGGCAGCAAGUGUCCCCAUAUCAACCUGGCGUCUUGAGUUGACCAGUGGGAUGUGAGACUCCCGUCAGGGUAGGGCCUGAGGGAUGUACUGCCCCUCCUGGCUCUCGGCCUCUGGGGAUGCACCUGGGAUCCGAGUGCAUCCUCGGGUGAGCCCAGCCUUGUGGCCCUCGUCAGUCCUUCUGACCCUGGGCAGCAUGUGCUGGUCUGGCUGAGCUGGACACCCCUGCCCAGCCCUGACUCUGGCCCCUGGCACAUGCAUGUGGGAGGAGCAGCGUCCAGACGAGCUGGCAGACGGGCCCCUUGGGGCCGGGAGAGGAGGGCUGUGCUGGCCCAGGGUCCUGCCGUCGGGAGGAAGCUGCUCCUGUCCUGUCUGCCAGCCUGUUGCUGACAGCUUCCCUUCAACCUCAGCAACCCCACUGCACCUCCCGAGCCCCCCGCUGGCCUUAGUGAGUCCAGGGAAAGGCAGCCUGCACAGAACACAGGCCCUCGGGGCACACCCUCUGGCCUGGCGUGGACCCUGAAGGCAGGACAGGGGUUGGUCGCCCUCCCUCACCACAGGGAGGACCUGGACUCAUGGUCCGGGAGUCUUAGGGAACCAGUAACAAAUGAGCAUAAACUUGUCCCCACAGCGGCGAAAAUCGCGGUAUGCAGAACUGGACUUUGAGGUGGGUGCUGAUGUCCCCCUCCCUGGACAGGCAGGGCACACCCAGCCCCUGACCAGGCAGCUCAGGCCACUGGGGCGGGCAGGGAGGUGGAGUUGGGGCGGUGGCGGGCCUUGUCCCCAGGGGCUGGUGAUGGGCAGCAUGGCCGGCCAGGCCCUGCUCAGGACAGUGGCCUCCCUCUGCAGAAGAUCAUGCACACGCGGAAGCGGCACCAGGACAUGUUCCAGGACCUGAACCGGAAGCUGCAGCACGCGGCCGAGAAGGACAAGGAGGCGCUGGGCCCCGACAGCAAGGUUGGAGGGC